AACGAACGCUGGCGGCAUGCCUAACACAUGCAAGUCGAACGAGACCUUCGGGUCUAGUUUCGCAAGGGUGCGUAACGCGUGGGAACCUGCCCUUAGGUUCGGAAUAACUCCCCGGAAGGGGUGCUAAUACCGGAUAAUGUCUUCCGACCAAAGAUUUAUCGCCUUUGGAUGGGCCCGCGUUGGAUUAGCUAGUUGGUAGGGUAAAAGCCUACCAAGGCGACGAUCCAUAGCUGGUCUGAGAGGAUGAUCAGCCACACUGGGACUGAGACACGGCCCAGACUCCUACGGGAGGCAGCAGUGGGGAAUAUUGGACAAUGGGCGAAAGCCUGAUCCAGCAAUGCCGCGUGAGUGAUGAAGGUUUUAGGGUUGUAAAGCUCUUUUACCCGGGAUGAUAAUGACAGUACCGGGAGAAUAAGCUCCGGCUAACUCCGUG
rnacentral:rRNA from 1 species